rnacentral:misc_RNA from 1 species
AGCCGGAGCACGGCGGCGAAAGCAGCAACCCCAACAGCAAUAACAGACACCCCAACAGCAGACUGAGACGCAGCAGACGGCUGCUUUGGCGGAGGUGACGGCGGCGGAAGCGGCUCAGCUUUCACGGUCAACUUCAUCCCCUGAUAGCAAUAUCCGAAGCUACAAAUGAAGUAGUACCUCUUAGUCUGAUUCAGCUCAAAUGCAUAGCUCCGCCCCUUGCUAUAGUUCGAGAUCGGAUGAGCCGAAUCACACUUGUUGUACGCCGCCUCGUCCACCUGCACUACAUCCGCCAUGCCGGAGGUGUAGUAGAACACA